rnacentral:misc_RNA from 1 species
UUUGUCAGCUGUUGUUUUUCAGUUUUGUUUGUUUUAAAUCCGUGAAUCUGGUAUAACGGUAAUAUAACAACAAAAACAACAACAAUCGUCGUAGUAAUAAAUAUAAUAUGUUCUACUAAUUAGUAUUAAUGAAGUAUUAACUCGAUCGCGUUUCCAAAUAAUAUUUUUGUUUGAAGUGCUCGAUAUUUAAAAUAAUUAUUAUUACUAUUGUCUUGUGAAGAAGUGUGUGAUCGUCGUCGCGUGUUAUUCAGUUAAAUCUAAUAUAACGUCGUUGACGCCGUAGCAGGAAUAAUAUUUACUUCGAAGAAGGAUAAUUCGUUGAAUACUUUUAAUCCGCUCCUGGUUCGUCGUCGUCAUCAAUUGUGCGCUUGCGAAUACGUAAGACAUCACCUAAUAGCGUGAAACUUGUGCUCGGCCAACAUUCAACAUAUCGUCGGGUAGUUAUGACUCCGAACGACAUGGACCAGAGUCAGCAGCAGGCCAAUCAGGGUAACACUCAAGAUUUCAACGGUU